rnacentral:lncRNA from 14 species
UGAGAACCAGUUGUAGUGGCCGCUGGCAAACUUUUUCAGAGUCGCUGAUUGGUCAGUGGCGGAGAGCUGUAGCCAAUCAGCGCGGUGUUUGGGCCCGCAUUGUGGACCAAAGGUCCAAGUGGGCAUCUGGCGGGCAUAGUGGCCUGCAGAGACUCGAGGUGUGGAGUGCAGAGCCAGGGAGGAGUGAGCAUGUCUUGGGACCCGACAGCCAGGCGGCUGGCACCGCCAUCACUGCUAUCGCUGCUCCUGGUGCUGGUGCUGCUGUCACGAGCCGGGGCUCUGCGUUCUGAAGAGCUCUUUCCUUAUGGGAAGUCGUGGGGAGACUGGCUGCCGGGGGAGGGAGAAGUGGAAAGCUCCGUGGCUGUGAAGCUAGCAGUACCUCUACGCUUCUACGGUGUCCAGUUCAGCAACGUCUAUGUGGGCACCAAUGGCAUCAUCUCCACCCAGGACUUACCCAGGGAGACUUAAUAUGUCGUUGAUGAUUUUCCUACUGACUUCCCAGCCAUCGCCCCAUUCCUGGCUGACAUCCACUCGAGUCACAGCAGUGGCCGGAUCCUGUAUGGAGGACACCUCCUGGGCUGGGCUGAGUCUGGCUGCUUGCUACCUGUGCACAGGCCUCCCGCUGACCGGGUCCAGCUUCUCCCCUACCCACUUCUUCCUGGCCACCUGGGAGCAAGUGGGCCCUUAGGAGGAGGACAGGCUUGGGGUUGCGUGGUCUGGAGAGGUAAGUGAGGGGUACUCUGCAGCUGAAUAAACAGGAGGGUUGGGCUUGAACCGGAAAUUAAGGCAUUGGCUAGGAGACAUUCCCUUGAUUCCGCUCCUCAACACUAAGAAAAUCGCUUAGUAAAAUGAGGGAGUAAGGUGCAGAUACCAAAGACCCUGAGGGAACUUAAGGCACUUUACAGGGUUUUUUCUGUUUUCUGGAAUCACCUAUAAGUUAUAAGUACACAAAUAUUUCUAAUAAUAUAUUCAUCGAAAAAAGUUAAAAAUUGGGAAAUUUAAAAGGA